rnacentral:tRNA from 1 species
AAGGCUUUAGCUUAAUUAAAGUAUCUGUUUUGCAUGCAGAAGAUGUGGGUUAGUGCCCCGCAAGUCUUA